rnacentral:tRNA from 1 species
AAGAAGUUAGUUAAAUAAUAACAUUAGUAUGUCAUACUAAAAUUAUUAAUUAUAUAAUACAUCUUU